rnacentral:lncRNA from 1 species
UCAAACAAACAGGGACUAAAAACGCAAAUGUCCCUAGUCCCGAAAUGUGGCGCUUAGGCGUGGACCGAAUUGAAGCAAUGCGCGAAUUCUUGGAAAAAUUUAAAAAAAGCAAAGAGAUCAAAACCAGGUUCAAUCGAACAGCUCCACAAAGAAAGGGACCAUGCGCGCAAAUUAACCUUUCAAGGUGAAAAGGCGCGGAUCCGGGCCUCUAAAUGGGUCAACGCGCGGAUCCCUUUUCUACCAAACGGCCCGUUUCGAUUUUGACAAAGUCAGGUUAAAGAAAACCCUAAAACUAGUUGUAUACCAUUCAAAGGCAGAUCAAAACGAUAAAAAAAAAAAUCUAAAGCCUAGCCUCCUAUUCAUUAGGCCGAACUCUAGGUCCUUUCGCCUGCCGUCCGACCUUCAUACUUGAUCCACGGUCAUCAUACAAAAGGCCUAAUCCGGCUCCGUCCGACCGUGAGUCCAAAGGAUCUUUCAGAAGCCUCUGAAUCCCCUCCCCAAAACUCCGACCGCGAUGAAGUGAGCGAGGAUUCGAGGGAACCAAAAACGGAGGUAAGCCUUUUUUCGUUGUUUCUUUUAUACAUCAAAUAGAAAAGCAAGAAACCAAGAAAGAAAGAUCACCGAAUCGGGGAAGAAGAAGAACUAAAAAGGUCACCUUUUUAAUAUUUUUCUAUUCGAAUGCUUUUGAUUGCUUUUUUUUGUAUAUUGCCUCUAUUCGUAACCUUUACAACAAUUAAAAGCUUGGCUUUUAUAGCCGAAAAAAGAGAAAAAUAAAUCGAAAAUAUACAAUAUAUUUUUGUUUCUAUUCGCUGCUGCUCUGUUUGUUUGCCUGCAGGUAUGGGUGUGCGCUGGCGUACGGGGCGUACGGAGGCAUGGAGCUGCUGUCCGGUUGCUGUUGCGGCGCAGGAGAAGGGGGGUGACUUAGGGUUUGUCUUGGUUUAAUAUUAUGGGCCUAUCGGGCCUUGUAAAUUUGGGUUAAGUUAAAAUUGGGGCUUGGGUCAUGGUUUAGUUAUUGGUUUUGGGCUGAUGGGGUCAUGUAACUGGGUUUGUUUUUUGGGUUUUGGGUCAAAGCUUGUAAAUGGACUGUGGACAUUUUUUGGUUUAAUAUUAUUUUUUGUUUUUUGUGUUGUAACGGGCCGGGCAAAAUUUGGGCCUUACAAUUAGUUAUUUAUAUUUGAUACUAAAUCUGUAAAUAAAUAACAAAUAAAAAAAUUAACUUUUAUUUAAAAAAUAUUAGAUCCUACUAAAAAAAUAUAAUUACAAAUUAACCUUAUAAACUCGAACUUGAUUUUUGCAGUAUAAAGCACAAUUCUUUUUUCUUUUCAAUAGAAAGCAAAAAAACUUCACCAGAAACCCAAAAUUUCACCAAAAACAUAUUUUUGGCCUAAGAAGGGGUGUAUAUAGUGGGUGAUGUCACCUCAUA